UUUAAGUUUCAAAUUCCCGUAACAAAAUCUCAAAAUACAUGAAUCCAACCAAUAGUUUUAUCUCAAAUAUAUUCCAAAUCGCAAAUAAACACAAAUAUCCAACGACAUAAUUUUAAAUUAUUGUCAAAAGAUACAACCACGAUUAAGUUUUUCCUUCUCAUUUGUUUUCAUUCCGUGGGUAGCUACUUUGUGUCGCUAAAACACCACCAACUUCGUAUAUUAUUGGCCAACGAGAUCGUUGAAGCCGUGAAGCUCAUGUUCAAGUGAUAUCGUCUAUUUUCUAUAUGUUCUAUAAGAUGAUAUCCUCACAUUUAAGCACACGUUUAUAACAAGUAUAUUGAUGUUGUUAUAACAAAUAUAUUGAUGGUGCCACGGUGGUCCUUAAUUGGUUCAAAAGAUGUAAAGGGAGCUAAAAGAGAGUCCAUAUAUUAAAUGUUCAUAAAAGAUAGAACAAGGCAUGGGCUUGAGUUGGCCGUGACAUAGCCAUGGACCCACAUUCCAGCCAAGCCUAGUUCGAGCAGACCCUCACCUCACCAAAGGCACAUACAUGACUCCUAGCCUUGUAGGCUCAUGGUCCUGGAAGUCGUGACAAAA
rnacentral:lncRNA from 1 species